AUUGAACGCUGGCGGCAGGCCUAACACAUGCAAGUCGAGCGGCAGCGGAAAGUAGCUUGCUACUUUGCCGGCGAGCGGCGGACGGGUGAGUAAUGUCUGGGAAACUGCCUGAUGGAGGGGGAUAACUACUGGAAACGGUAGCUAAUACCGCAUAACGUCGCAAGACCAAAGAGGGGGACCUUCGGGCCUCUUGCCAUCAGAUGUGCCCAGAUGGGAUUAGCUAGUAGGUGGGGUAACGGCUCACCUAGGCGACGAUCCCUAGCUGGUCUGAGAGGAUGAACAGCCACACUGGAACUGAGACACGGUCCAGACUCCUACGGGAGGCAGCAGUGGGGAAUAUUGCACAAUGGGCGCAAGCCUGAUGCAGCCAUGCCGCGUGUAUGAAGAAGGCCUUCGGGUUGUAAAGUACUUUCAGCGGGGAGGAAGGUGUUGAGGUUAAUAACCUCAGCAAUUGACGUUACCCGCAGAAGAAGCACCGGCUAACUCCGUGCCAGCAGCCGCGGUAAAAC
rnacentral:rRNA from 1 species